AUAUCAAUAAGCGGAGGAAAAGAAACCAACAGGGAUUGCCUCAGUAACGGCGAGUGAAGCGGCAACAGCUCAAAUUUGAAAUCUGGUCCUUUCAGGUCCCGAAUUGUAAUUUGUAGAGGAUGUUUCGGCUUACGCCCCGGUCUAAGUUCCUUGGAACAGGACGUCACAGAGGGUGAGAACCCCGUUUGUGGCCGGCGGCCUCCGCCAUGUGAAACUCCUUCGACGAGUCGAGUUGUUUGGGAAUGCAGCUCUAAAUGGGUGGUAAAUUUCAUCUAAAGCUAAAUAUUGGCCAGAGACCGAUAGCGCACAAGUA
rnacentral:rRNA from 1 species